rnacentral:rRNA from 1 species
CGCUAGCUACAGGCUUAACACAUGCAAGUCGAGGGGCAUCAGGAAGAAAGCUUGCUUUCUUUGCUGGCGACCGGCGCACGGGUGAGUAACACGUAUCCAACCUGCCCUUUACUCGGGGAUAGCCUUUCGAAAGAAAGAUUAAUACCCGAUGGCAUAAUGAUUCCGCAUGGUUUCAUUAUUAAAGGAUUCCGGUAAAGGAUGGGGAUGCGUUCCAUUAGGUUGUUGGUGAGGUAACGGCUCACCAAGCCUUCGAUGGAUAGGGGUUCUGAGAGGAAGGUCCCCCACAUUGGAACUGAGACACGGUCCAAACUCCUACGGGAGGCAGCAGUGAGGAAUAUUGGUCAAUGGGCGCUAGCCUGAACCAGCCAAGUAGCGUGAAGGAUGAAGGCUCUAUGGGUCGUAAACUUCUUUUAUAUAAGAAUAAAGUGCAGUAUGUAUACUGUUUUGUAUGUAUUAUAUGAAUAAGGAUCGGCUAACUCCGUGCCAGCAGCCGCGGUAAUACGGAGGAUCCGAGCGUUAUCCGGAUUUAUUGGGUUUAAAGGGAGCGUAGGUGGACUGGUAAGUCAGUUGUGAAAGUUUGCGGCUCAACCGUAAAAUUGCAGUUGAUACUGUCAGUCUUGAGUACAGUAGAGGUGGGCGGAAUUCGUGGUGUAGCGGUGAAAUGCUUAGAUAUCACGAAGAACUCCGAUUGCGAAGGCAGCUCACUGGACUGCAACUGACACUGAUGCUCGAAAGUGUGGGUAUCAAACAGGAUUAGAUACCCUGGUAGUCCACACAGUAAACGAUGAAUACUCGCUGUUUGCGAUAUACAGUAAGCGGCCAAGCGAAAGCAUUAAGUAUUCCACCUGGGGAGUACGCCGGCAACGGUGAAACUCAAAGGAAUUGACGGGGGCCCGCACAAGCGGAGGAACAUGUGGUUUAAUUCGAUGAUACGCGAGGAACCUUACCCGGGCUUAAAUUGCAGUGGAAUGAUGUGGAAACAUGUCAGUGAGCAAUCACCGCUGUGAAGGUGCUGCAUGGUUGUCGUCAGCUCGUGCCGUGAGGUGUCGGCUUAAGUGCCAUAACGAGCGCAACCCUUAUCUUUAGUUACUAACAGGUCAUGCUGAGGACUCUAGAGAGACUGCCGUCGUAAGAUGUGAGGAAGGUGGGGAUGACGUCAAAUCAGCACGGCCCUUACGUCCGGGGCUACACACGUGUUACAAUGGGGGGUACAGAAGGCAGCUAGCGGGUGACCGUAUGCUAAUCCCAAAAUCCUCUCUCAGUUCGGAUCGAAGUCUGCAACCCGACUUCGUGAAGCUGGAUUCGCUAGUAAUCGCGCAUCAGCCACGGCGCGGUGAAUACGUUCCCGGGCCUUGUACACACCGCCCGUCAAGCCAUGGGAGCCGGGGGUACCUGAAGUACGUAACCGCAAGGAUCGUCCUAGGGUAAAACUGGUGACUGGG